GACGAACGCUGGCGGCGUGCCUAAUACAUGCAAGUCGAGCGAGACUCUUCGGAGUCUAGCGGCGGACGGGUGAGUAACACGUGGGCAACCUGCCUGUAAGACUGGGAUAACACCGGGAAACCGGUGCUAAUACCGGAUAAUCCUUUUUCUCUCAUGAGGAAAAGCUGAAAGUCGGUUUCGGCUGACACUUACAGAUGGGCCCGCGGCGCAUUAGCUAGGUGGUGAGGUAACGGCUCACCAAGGCGACGAUGCGUAGCCGACCUGAGAGGGUGGUCGGCCACACUGGAGCUGGGACACGGCCCAGACUCCGACGGGAGGCAGCAGUGGGGAAUCUUCCACGGUGGACGAAAGUCUGAGGGAGCAACGACGCGUGAGCGAUGAAGGCCUUCGGGUCGUAAAGCUCUGUUGUUAGGGAAGAACAAGUACCGGAGUAACUGCCGGUACAUUGACGGUACCUAACCAGAAAGCCACGGCUAACUACGUGCCAGCCGCCGCCGUAA
rnacentral:rRNA from 1 species